GCCGGCUUAGCUCAGCUGGUAGAGCACCCGCCUUGUAAGCGGAAGGUCGUCAGUUCGAUUCUGACAGCCGGCACCA
rnacentral:tRNA from 1 species